GACGAACGCUGGCGGCGUGCUUAACACAUGCAAGUCGAACGGAAAGGCCCUGCUUGCAGGGUACUCGAGUGGCGAACGGGUGAGUAACACGUGGGUGAUCUGCCCUGCACUUCGGGAUAAGCCUGGGAAACUGGGUCUAAUACCGGAUAGGAGCCAUUUUUAGUGUGAUGGUUGGAAAGUUUUUUCGGUGUAGGAUGAGCUCGCGGCCUAUCAGCUUGUUGGUGGGGUAAUGUCCUACCAAGGCGGCGACGGGUAGCCGGCCUGAGAGGGUGGACGGCCACAUUGGGACUGAGAUGCGGCACAGACUCCGACGGGAGGCAGCAGUGGGGAAUAUUGCACAAUGGGCGCAAGCCGGAUGAAGCGACGCCGCGUGGGGGAUGACGGCCUUCGGGUUGUAAACUCCUUUCGCUAGGGACGAAGCUUUUUGUGACGGUACCUAGAUAAGAAGCACCGGCUAACUACGUG
rnacentral:rRNA from 1 species